CGUUAGUCGGGGGGAAGGUUCUAGAAAAGCGGCGGCAGCGGCUCUAGCGGCAGUAGCAGCAGCGCCGAGUCCCGUGUGGAGGUGCUCUUAGCGGUGUUGUUUCUCGAGCAGCGGCAGUUCUCACUACAGCGCCAGGACGAGUCCGGUUCGUGUUCGUCCGCGGAGAUCUCUCUCAUCUCGCUCGGCUGCGGGAAAUCGGGCUGAAGCGACUGAGUCCGCGAUGGAGAAAACUUUAGAAACUGUUCCUUUGGAGAGGAAAAAGAGAGAAAAGGAACAGUUCCGUAAACUCUUUAUUGGUGGCUUGAGCUUUGAAACCACAGAAGAAAGUUUGAGGAAUUACUACGAGCAAUGGGGGAAACUUACAGACUGUGUGGUUAUGAGGGAUCCUGCAAGCAAAAGAUCAAGAGGAUUUGGCUUUGUAACUUUUUCAUCCAUGGCUGAGGUUGAUGCUGCCAUGGCUGCAAGACCUCAUUCAAUUGAUGGUAGAGUGGUUGAGCCAAAACGUGCUGUUGCAAGAGAGGAAUCUGGAAAACCGGGGGCUCAUGUAACUGUGAAGAAGCUGUUUGUUGGUGGGAUUAAAGAAGAUACUGAGGAACAUCAUCUUAGAGAUUAUUUUGAGGAAUAUGGAAAGAUUGAUACCAUUGAGAUAAUUACUGAUAGACAGUCUGGAAAGAAAAGAGGCUUUGGAUUUGUUACUUUUGAUGAUCAUGAUCCUGUGGAUAAGAUUGUGUUGCAGAAAUAUCAUACCAUCAAUGGUCAUAAUGCAGAAGUAAGAAAGGCUCUGUCUAGACAAGAAAUGCAGGAAGUCCAAAGUUCUAGAAGUGGAAGAGGAGGUAAUUUUGGUUUUGGAGAUUCUCGUGGUGGUGGUGGAAAUUUUGGACCAGGACCAGGAAGUAACUUUAGAGGAGGAUCUGAUGGAUAUGGAAGUGGUCGUGGAUUUGGGGAUGGCUAUAAUGGGUAUGGAGGAGGACCUGGAGGUGGCAAUUUUGGAGGUAGCCCUGGUUAUGGAGGAGGAAGAGGAGGAUAUGGUGGUGGAGGACCUGGAUAUGGCAACCAGGGUGGGGGCUACGGAGGUGGUUAUGACAACUAUGGAGGAGGAAAUUAUGGAAGUGGAAAUUACAAUGAUUUUGGAAAUUAUAACCAGCAACCCUCUAACUAUGGUCCAAUGAAGAGUGGAAACUUUGGUGGUAGCAGGAACAUGGGGGGACCAUAUGGUGGAGGAAAUUAUGGUCCUGGAGGCAGUGGAGGAAGUGGGGGUUAUGGAGGAAGAAGCCGAUACUGAGCUUCUUCCUAUUUGCCAUGGAUCUUUUAGAUGCUGCUUCUUCAAUGCAAGGAAAGGAAAUAACCCCAGCGAGGUACUCUUCAGGGAUACAGGUCUAGUACAAGAGAACUCUUGACGGCUACUAAGUUCAGCCAGUCUUAAAAAACUGUGCUGUUUCUGCAAAGCUUUAAACUACAGUAGUUUAUAAGGAUGACAUCGAAAGCUGAGGGUGUAGAGCAAAAUAGUUCUAAGCUUCAGUUAAACUUCUUUAGCAUUGAUAUGAACCAUGGACAAGUAUAUUCUGCUGCCACAAAGACUGUAAAGUGCUUCAUUUCAACAGCUGAGGCGCAAGCCAAGUGAUCAUUAAUAAAGCUUUUCUUGGUUCCUUCAGUGGUGUUGGUAGUAAAAUGGAAGGUGUCUUGCUGCAGGUAACUAAUGAAGAAGUGGUCAACCACAGAGUCUUCAAGAAAUAAGAAAUUCUGUACCAUCUGAAAGUAGUUCUUGUUGGUGCCUUCAUUUAAAAAAAAAAAAGCACUUUAAGUUUAAAGGGAAAUGUUUUCUGAUAAAAUACAAACUUCAUUUAGUACAGGUUCUUAAUAUAAAACAAUUACAAAAUGAGUGUUGUUUGUAAAAGAGUAACAUCAGAUAAGCGAGAGAGAGAAAUGUAUCAUGUUUUAAACUAGGUUUUGUGAGUAGACAGAUAAAAAUUCUAUUUUAAAUAUAAAGUUUAUAAAAUAAACACUUUUGUAUUAAAAUA